UGCAAAUUCUAGAAUGAGAACUACUACUUGGCUUUGCGCUAUACAACAGUUGAUGGCGAAGUAGGGUAUGUGCAGAUGAAAUGUCCAGUUAGUGCAGGAGAACCAACAAAAGCACCUGCAACUACAAACACAGCCACAAAAUCAACAAGGACCCCUCCAGCACCGGAUGUGAUGUGUAAUUCCUCCAGCAUGAUGAUGGUGCUGCCCAUGGAUCCUCUGGACCUAGUUGAGCUUUUAGAUUAUUCCGACAAAUGGGUAGUCGUCAACAAGGCCCCCGUUUAUUGCAACUACACCUUACUACAGGGAAGCAGAAGGACCCUUUUCAUAACCCCAUACAAAGCCUGUGAUGUCAGGAUACUGAAUGAGCACUACAUCUUGACCCUCCGCUAUACAACUUCUGGACAACAAGCUUAUGUUCAGAUGAAGUGCCCAACUGGUGCUCUAGCACCCACAAAAACGCCUUCCUCUACAACCACUACUAGAAAACCAACAAUACCCACUGUCUGCGAAGCCUCAGUCAUGACAAUAGAGCUGCCUGAAGGACCAAUUGAA